CAUUUCCUGAGUGCCUACUGCAUGCCAAACACAGAGCCUCACACUUAUGGGUGGCUUAACUCAUUUCCUCUUUUCAACAGAAGCAUAAGCCCUCUCCUCAGGAGACAUGGGUGCUGUGAAAGGGAGAAUCCAUUCCAUACAGCCUGGCUUGUCUGGGUUGCCAAAGGAAAAGACCUGCCUGAAGAGUUCCUCUUUAUAAUUUACCACUGGAUUUCAGCCUUCCACCCAAGGCUAGUUGUUUCUCCAAACCAGCUGAAAUCUCUAGUGCCUCAGUUGCUUGUAGUAAAGGAUUAAGAGUUCUGAUUGCAAAUGGAGGGAAAUAAAUGUCAAGAUAAAUAAAAUCAAUGCGCUUUGGCAAAUAAAGGAAGCUGGAAAUACCAAAGAGAGAUGAAAUGUUGCUCCCUCCCCCAAACACACAGACUAAAGUCAACUAUGUUUGGCAAUUCUUGCUUCUUCCAGGAAGAAGUCCCUGAAAAUUCUCACAAAACAUCUCAUUCAUUAUUGUAUUUGAAUAAUAAAGUGGCACAUUUU
ensembl:lncRNA